GGCCUAUCAGGGUAGUAGUGGGUGUAACGUACCUACUAGCCUACGACGGGUACGGGUUGUGAGAGCAAGAGCCCGGAGAUGGAUUCUGAGACAUGAAUCCAGGCCCUACGGGGUGCAGCAGGCGCGAAAACUUUACAAUGCGGGCAACCGCGAUAAGGGGACCUCGAGUGCUGGGUUACAAACCUGGCUGUUGGGCUGCCUAAAANNNAGUCUANNNCNNNGGCCGGGCAAGACCGGUGCCAGCCGCCGCGGUAACACCGGCGGCUCGAGUGGUAACCGCUGUUAUUGGGUCUAAAGGGUCUGUAGCCUGCCGGCUAAGUCUCUUGGGAAAUCUGGCAUCUCAAGUGUCAGGCUGCCAGGGGAUACUGGCCGGCUUGGGACCGGGAGAGGUGGGAGGUACCUCAGGGGUAGGGGUGAAAUCUUGUAAUCCUUGAGGGACCACCAGUGGCGAAGGCGUCUCACCAGAACGGAUCCGACGG
rnacentral:rRNA from 1 species